CAUUAUUAUUAUUANAAUUUAAUUUUUGAGUUAAAAGGCUUAAAUUUUAUUGUUGGACGANAAGACCCUAUAGAUCUUUAUUUAUUUAUUUAUUGAUAUAGUUUAUAUUAUUUUUUUAUUGAUUUUAAAUGUUUUUGGUUGGGGUGAUAUUUGGAUAUAACAAACUCUUUAUUUAUUUUACAUUUAUUUAU
rnacentral:rRNA from 1 species